rnacentral:misc_RNA from 1 species
GUGAAUCAUCGAAUUUUUGAACGCAUAUUGCACUCUUUGGUAUUCCGGAGAGUAUGCCUGUUUGAGGGUAAUUAAAAAGAAUAUUUUACUAAUUUUUUUCGUUAAAGGAUAUUAUUUCUCCGCGUUUAUUGCAGUAGCUUGAAAUAAAAGGUCAAGUAUCAUUUUAGUCGAGACGCGUAAUAAUAUUAUUUAAUUAUAUUUACAGUACUUGACU